rnacentral:rRNA from 1 species
CUACGGGACGCUCCAGUGGGGAAUAUUGCACAAUGGGGGAAACCCUGAUGCAGCAACGCCGCGUGGAGGAUGACACAUUUCGGUGCGUAAACUCCUUUUAUAGGUCAAGAUAAUGACGGUAGCCUAUGAAUAAGCGCCGGCUAACUCCGUGCCAGCAGCCGCGGUAAUACGGAGGGCGCAAGCGUUACUCGGAAUCACUGGGCGUAAAGAGCAUGUAGGCGGGUUAAUAAGUCAGAAGUGAAAUCCAAUAGCUCAACUAUUGAACUGCUUUUGAAACUGUUAACCUAGAGUGUGGGAGGGUAGAUGGAAUUUCUGGUGUAGGGGUAAAAUCCGUAGAGAUCAGAAGGAAUACCGAUUGCGAAGGCGAUCUACUGGAACAUUACUGACGCUGAGAUGCGAAAGCGUGGGGAGCAAACAGGAUUAGAUACCCGGGUAGUC